rnacentral:rRNA from 1 species
AGAGUUUGAUCAUGGCUCAGAAUGAACGCUGGCGGCAUGCUAACACAUGCAAGUCGAAGGUGAAACUCCUUUCGGGGAGUGGAAACUGGCGAACGGGUGAGUAACACGUGGGAAUCUGCCUUGGAGUGGGGAAUAACCGCUGGAAACGGCGGCUAAUACCCCAUACGCCCUGAGGGGAAAGAUUUAUUCGCUCCAAGAUGAGCCCGCGGCGGAUUAGGUUGUUGGUGGGGUAAAGGCCUACCAAGCCCGGGAUCCGUAGCUGGUCUGAGAGGAUGAACAGCCACACUGGGACUGAGAUACGGCCCAGACUCCUACGGGAGGCAGCAGUGGGGAAUAUUGGACAAUGGGGGAAACCCUGAUCCAGCGAUGCCGCGUGAGUGAUGAAGGCCCUAGGGUUGUAAAACUCUUUCGGCGGGGAAGAUGAUGACUGUACCCGCUAAAGAAGCUCCGUCUAACUUCGUGCCAGCAGACGCGGUAAUACGAAGGGGGCUAGCGUUGUUCGGAAUUACUGGGCGUAAAGAGCGCAUAGGCGUUUUUGUAAGUUGCAGGUGAAAUCCCCGGGCUUAACCCGGGAAGUGCCUUCAAUACUGCAUAACUAGAGUUCGGGAGAGGAUGGUGGAAUUCCAAGUGUAGAGGUGGAAUUCGUAGAUAUUUGGAAGAACACCAAAGGCGAAGGCGACCAUCUGGCCCGUUUCUGACGCUGAGGCGCGAAAGCGUGGGGAGUAAACAGGAUUAGAUACCCUGGCAGUCCACGCAGUAAACGAUGAGUGCUUGCUGU